rnacentral:rRNA from 1 species
UGGGGAAUUUUGGACAAUGGGCGCAAGCCUGAUCCAGCCAUGCCGCGUGCAGGAUGAAGGCCUUCGGGUUGUAAACUGCUUUUGUACGGAACGAAAAAGCUCUCUCUAAUACACGGGGGUGAAUGACGGUAC